rnacentral:pre_miRNA from 1 species
UGGUCACUGUCAGUCAUUGUGUUUCAACCACAUGAUGAUUGUACUGUGACUACC